rnacentral:piRNA from 1 species
UUUGGAUCCAAAAUGAUGGAA